rnacentral:rRNA from 1 species
UACGUAGGGCGCAAGCGUUGUCCGGAAUUAUUGGGCGUAAAGAGCUCGUAGGCGGCUUGUCACGUCGGAUGUGAAAGCCCGGGGCUUAACCCCGGGUCUGCAUUCGAUACGGGCAGGCUAGAGUGUGGUAGGGGAGAUCGGAAUCCCUGGUGUAGCGGUGAAAUGCGCAGAUAUCAGGAGGAACACCGGUGGCGAAGGCGGAUCUCUGGGCCAUUACUGACGCUGAGGAGCGAAAGCGUGGGGAGCGAACAGG